GGGAUCGUAGGCAGGAGGAGCUAUCAGUCGGCGGAGCGAACAUAUUAAUAAGCGGAGGACCUAUUAAUAGGCGCGAGGAGCGCGGCCCGGACCCAAGCAUCCGCCGGAGGCUCCGAACUCUUGUCUUUUAGUGUAUUUCUGAGUGGCAUAAGCAAAUAAAUCAAAACUUUCAGCAACGGAUCUCUUGGUUCUGGCAUCGAUGAAGAACGCAGCAAAAUGCGAUAAGUAAUGUGAAUUGCAGAAUUCAGUGAAUCAUCGAAUCUUUGAACGCACAUUGCGCCCGCCAGUAUUCUGGCGGGCAUGCCUGUCUGAGCGUCAUUUCAACCCUCAGGACCCGUUCGCGGGACCUGGCGUUGGGGAUCAGCCUGCCCCUGGCGGCGGCUGGCCCUGAAAUCCAGUGGCGGUUCCCUCGCGAACUCCUCCGUGCAGUAAUUAAACCUCUCGCGGCAGGAUAGCGGUUGAACCACGCCGUUAAACCCCCCACUUCUCAAGGUUGACCUCAGAUCAGGUAGGAAUACCCGCUGAACUUAAGCAUAUCAAUAAGCGGAGGAAA
rnacentral:rRNA from 1 species